GUGUUCACUCUGGCAGCACAUAUAAAAUUGGAACUAUACAGAGAAUAAUAGGUUGGUUCCUGCACAAUUUAUGAAACACAAAUUCAUAAAGUCUUUCAUAUAUUU
ensembl:snRNA U6 U6 spliceosomal RNA